UUUGGAUUGAACUUGAGAGUUUGAUCCUGGCUCAGAACGAACGCUGGCGGCAGGCCUAACACAUGCAAGUCGAGCGCCCUGCUUGCAGGGAGCGGCGGACGGGUGAGUAACGCGUGGGAACGUGCCCUUCAGUUCAGAAUAGCCACUGGAAACGGUGAGUAAUACUGAAUACGCCCCCAGGGGGAAAGAUUUAUCGCUGAAGGAUCGGCCCGCGUUGGAUUAGCUUGUUGGUGGGGUAAUGGCCUACCAAGGCGACGAUCUAUAGCUGGUUUGAGAGGAUGAUCAGCCACACUGGGACUGAGACACGGCCCAGACUCCUACGGGAGGCAGCAGUGGGGAAUAUUGGACAA
rnacentral:rRNA from 1 species